AAAAUUGUAAUAAUAAAAAUUGUAAUAAUAAUAAAUAACUCUAUUAUAUUGACAACGAUGUAUGAACAACACCAAAAGACAUAAUAUGAGAUAAAUAUAAAAAAAAUAAAGUGGUACAAAAGUCAAAGUAUGAAUUAAACAUAAGGACGGUCAUUAGGCCUAAGUAUAGGUGGUAGGCAAAUACAGAUUAGAAACAGCACGAAUUAUUAAUUAAAAAAAGUAUUUGUAACAUGUUGACUACUUCAUUCCGUGUUUGUCAUGAUUUCAGAUCAAAAAGCUAUUCUGCAAAUAUUUCAAAACACUAUUUAUGGAAUUGUUUUUAAAGACUUUUCUUGUUUAUUCAAUACGAAUGACUCUAUGUUCUUAACAUAAUACGAAUGACUCUAUGUUCUUAACAUGAUACGAAUAAAAGCAAUUGAGGCAUGUAUAAUGAAAUAAUUCGACUACAUCUAUGAAAUGUGUGAUAUAAACGUUAUGUAUUGUAAAUAUCUUCCAUGAAAAGUGAAACCG
rnacentral:lncRNA from 1 species